rnacentral:lncRNA from 1 species
CGUCGAAGAAGAAUCCAACGAAUAUAAUAACAAAGACUAAUUGAAUUGAAACCCACAUCUCUUUUCACCUUAUCAUUACAUGUUUUUACCCAUUGGUCCUGCACAUCAAUAUAGCACCAAACAAAUGGAUAAUUAAAUAUCAAGAAAACAAGCAACAGGAUUACGAAGAUAUAUUAACACCAAAGAAAACGAAACAGAUCUAAGACAUUACAGAUCUAGAAAAGUUGAGAAGACAAAAAUAAAGUUGCAAGUGAAAGAAAAUGGACCUUUUAUAGCUUUCAAUUUAUCAAAAAGCAUCCUGCCGGCUUACAAAGAAAAUCUGGCCGACGAAGCUAAACACGAACAAACCCAACCGGAAACCAGGCCAGAACCUUCGAGCCUUCACCCCUUCGAACAGUGACUUCCGAUGAUAAUCAUGAAUGCGUUGGUGUUCUCUGUUUCGACGUUGAGCAAGGGACUGUUUUUGGGGUGAUCUUGGCAGCUGCGUUUUGCCGCUUUUGAUGGUUGUUUGGAGGAAGAAGAAAGUGUUUGGGGGGCUGAUUUUCAUGGAGUUUCAGUUUGUUUUUUAGAGUUAUAGACUGUGUUUGGAGCUGAUUUUGGGACUGUUUAGUGCUAUUUUUUCAGCUGAAUUUUGGCUUGGUUUGAGAGCUGUUUUUGCUGCAUUUUUAGCAGCUUUUUCGGCUGCGUUUUGAGGCCUAAUUUGAGGUGAAAAUGGCUGGUCUUUUGGAGCUCUUACAUGGCUAUUGAGGGAUCAGUUUUGGGGUGAGUUUUGGAUGAUUUUUAUCUUUUUUUUCAUGGCUAAUUUGCUGCAUUUGUUUCAGCUGUAAACAAUUGUGUUUUGGAUGGUUUUGAGUUGGGAUUUCAUGGCUGGACUUUCAUGGCUGAUUUUUAGGAGUGAACAAUGGUUCUAUAGUGAAGCCAAGUGAGGUAGAUGAAGUUUUGUGAAAUUGUGUGGAAGAAGAAGAAAGCUUGCUACUUUUUUGGUCUAAUUUUGCCCGUCCCCUCCUCUGUUUCUCUCUGUUGUGUGUUUGUGUGCAGCUGCCUA